GGGCAGUUACCAGAGUGGCCAAAUGGGGCAGACUGUAAAUCUGCUGGCUUACGCCUUCGGUGGUUCGAAUCCAUCACUGCCCACCC
rnacentral:tRNA from 7 species